GCACGUCUAGUAGGAGACAAUCACUAAUUGCCUGCUGACUAGAUCGUCAAACAAAAUUCUGAUGACCAGCUGGCUCUAAUUAUUGUCAUUCCUUUGCAGGCCAAGUAUCCCAAAUAGAGUCUGGCAUAGAGAAGUCAAUAGAUGCUUGUGGAAUUGAAUCAGCAUGGACAUGAAGACAGGCAGAGAGCAGGGAGCAGGAGAGGGAGACACAGACUCCUCAAGCACACUCGGCCCCAAGCGCAGAGCCUGCCAGGGGCUGGUUCCCAGGAUGCUGAGGCCAUGACCUGAGCCACAACCAAGAGUCAGAUGCUAAGUGACAGAGCCACAGGCGUCAAGCCCCGUGUUCCUGCUGUGGGCACUCCUGCCUUCCCCCUGCCCCCCGCAGCCACUGAGAGCUCGGGCUUUGGUCUGCGCUCCAACUCCCAGGUGGUCUGGAGGCUACAGUGCAGGCUGCACGUCUCCUCUGUCCCACCUCAGGCUGAAAGGGCCUCAGCCCUGAGAAGGAAUCAGAUCUGCCCAACCACCCCCAGCCGGAGGGAGCUGCUGGAGCAGCAGGUAGAAGAACUGGUGCCUGCCUUGCUGCACAUUGACUCCUUGUCCAUAUUUGAAUUCCUAAAUGUUUUGGAGGAAUAUGGCACCCCUGAAGAGGUGCUGGACCUGCUGUUUGCAAAGUGAACACCCUGACUCCACAGCCCAGUGGGAUGGGCCACCUACUUGUUGGGAGUCUUGGGGAAUGUUCCUGAACUUCCCGGCCCCUGGGGCUGCUCCUCCGACUGGAGUAGAGUCAUGCAGGGCCUAAUUGGGUCCCGCAGGGCAGCCCCCGGGCCUGGCCUGUGACAGGUCGGCUAGAGGGGCUGUGCUUGUGCUCAGCAGUCGUCGUUCUGUCCCCAUGACGAAGCCUGUGCCGCCUCCCCACCGUCACCAGGGUCUUGAGCUGGCCUGUUUUACCAUGGAAAGGGAGUUUUGAGUCCAUCUGGGGUCUGUAUCCUGGGGCAUUCGCAGUAGGGGUCCCCGGGGACACCGGGGCGCCCAGGCCCACUUGGAUAUCGGCCAUGGGCCUGGCCGGAGCCCUUUCAUUCCUCAAGCAUUCAGGAAGCGCCAGCAGGUGCAGGAGCUUCUCCAGGAGCUGCCCAUGACCCCACGCACAGAGCUGACGGCCCCCCAGGGCUCCGGACUAGUCAGAGGUCAGAGGGUGACAGCAGCUAUGAGGAGAGAUCGGGUCCACAGGACGAUUCCUGUGAUGCCCCCCGCCCUCCUCUGGAUAUCGAUGCAUUGUAGCUUCCUGCAAGAAGGAAGGAAUCCUGGACCAGUGGGAAAUGUGAGUGAGCCCUGGCUCAUGCAGGGGAGCCUUCCCUCUCCAGGAGGGCCGCGAGGGGGCUGUGGGCUGGAGGGGCUGCUGGACCCUCACCCCACAAGUCUGCAAUUCCUGUGACAGGGUAAAGGUCUAAUGGGUCCUUUGAGAAAAGAGGAAAGGAGAGCUGUGGAUGGGAUACGGGCUUUGUGGGAGAGCACUGGGACCCCUAAUGGAGUCCUUCUCCACAUCUGCCCCCUUCAAAGCCCUCUGUCUCCCCGCCACCUGGGACCCAGAGCAGAGGGUGUGGGGAGCAUCGCACUCACCAAUCUGGUGGCACCUGGACCCGGGUGCACAGCAGGUGCUCAGGAGGGCCAGUGAGGGCUCUUGGACCAGAUGGCCCCUACCCUGUCAGAUUAGAGUCAGUGGAAGGACACCCCCUGGGUGCCCCUCAUGAGUGAAACAGCGCAGAGCCACAGGAGGGAAGGCGGUGGUACCGGGCGGCUCCUGGCAAGGCCUGGCGAGACACAGAGCCCACACCCUCCCCGCUUGGACAUUCCCAGAGUGACAGUGUGUGCAGUGAGGGCAAUGACAGGCCAACGCCCCCCUUCCCCGGACAUCUGCCGGUGGAUUCAAGGGGCAAGUGGGCAGGGAGCCAGGCUGAGGAGUGAGUCCCAGUUCCCCAGGAAAGACAGUGAUGGUCACGCUGCUGGUAUGGGCUCCCACGCACAGAGGUCUCCCAGUCGCUCAUGGUGUACCUGUCUGACUGCAUUCUGGGGCCAGGGUGGAGAGGAGACCUACAUUUGCUACAGCUUCAGCACAAAUCUCUCUCUGCCAGCUUCUCUGACCAUUCGCUCUCUUAGAGCUUCCCCCACUUGAUGGGUGAGGGACCAAGGAGUACCAUUCCUCUCCCUCGCUGGAAGGGGAGGAGAAGAGGACCUUGGGCUGCCUUAGCACAAAGCCAACACACACUCUCCUAUGUAAUGAAACUCCCUUUCCCGUUUCAAGUCUUUUCAUGCAGUCUACCAGUGCAUGAUGACGGGCGACGAUCACAGGACUGCUUUGCGUCUAGCACUCAUUGAGCCUCUUCGAGAAAGUGGAUACAACAGGGAAAGCCCCAGUCAACAUCGUGUUAGGACUGCACCCUGAACGUUGGGAAGAUAGAGAAUGAGUUGACCAUAAUCCCACUUCUCUAAAACCAAUGGCACCUCUUUUUCGUGUUUUCUCUUCCACUAUCUUAUCAAGUAUUCAUUGCAUGUGGGUCCUUCUGAUUUUAGGGGGCGGAUCUAUUUCCUGGAUCUGAAUGCCUGUUUCCCUUCCCAGAUUAGGAAAGUUUUCAGCAAUGACUUAUUCAAAUACAUAUUCUGGCCCUCUGGCCCUUUUGGUGCCCUCGGGAACCCCAAUUAAAUGUAGGUUUUUCUUCCUCAGGCUUUCGUUUAUUUCCCUUAAUCUAUCCUCAUGGUCUUUUAAUUGUUUGUCUCUUUUUUCCUCAGUUUCCCUCUUUGCCAUCAACUUGUCUUCUAUGUCACUCACUCGUUCUUCCACCUCAUUAACCCUCGUCGUUAGGACCUCUCCAGUUUGGAUUGCAUCUCAUUUAAUUGAUUUUUAAUUUCUGCCUGAUUAGAUCUAAAUUCUGCAGUCAUGAAGUCUCUUGAGUCCUUUAUGCUUUUUUCUACAGUUACCAGUAGCUUUUUAAUAGUGCUUCUGAAUUGGCUUUCUGACACUGAAUUGUAGUCCAGAUUUUGUCACCCUGUGGGAGAGAGGACUGUUUCUGAUUCUUUCUUUUGAAGUGAGUUUUUCCUUCUAGUCAUUUUGCUCAGUGCAGAGUGGCCAAAAACAAGUUGUUGGGAAAAGGAGAAAAAGAGAGAAGAUAAGGAAGAAAAGAAAAAGAAAAGAAAAAAAAAAAGGGAAAAGAAAAAAAAAAAAAG
rnacentral:lncRNA from 1 species